AUUGAACGCUGGCGGCAGGCUUAACACAUGCAAGUCGAGCGGAGUGAUGGUGCUUGCACUAUCACUUAGCGGCGGACGGGUGAGUAAUGCUUAGGAAUCUGCCUAUUAGUGGGGGACAACAUCUCGAAAGGGAUGCUAAUACCGCAUACGUCCUACGAGAGAAAGCAGGGGAUCACUUGUGACCUUGCGCUAAUAGAUGAGCCUAAGUCGGAUUAGCUAGUUGGGGGGGUAAAGGCCUACCAAGGCGACGAUCUGUAGCGGGUCUGGGAGGAUGAUCCGCCACACUGGGACUGAGACACGGCCCAGACUCCUACGGGAGGCAGCAGUGGGGAAUAUUGGACAAUGGGGGGAACCCUGAUCCAGCCAUGCCGCGUGUGUGAAGAAGGCCUUAUGGUUGUAAAGCACUUUAAGCGAGGAGGAGGCUCUUUUGGUUAAUACCCAAGAUGAGUGGACGUUACUCGCAGAAUAAGCACCGGCUAACUCUGUGCCAGCCGCCGCUGUAA
rnacentral:rRNA from 1 species